rnacentral:rRNA from 1 species
GACGAACGCUGGCGGCGUGCCUAACACAUGCAAGUCGAACGGGGCCAGGGGCAACUCUGGUUCAGUGGCGGACGGGUGCGUAACACGUGAGGAACAUGACCUUCGGCGGGGGAGUAGCCGGCCCAACGGCCGGGUAAUACCGCGUACGACCAUUCGGGGACGAUCCCUGGAUGGUGAAAGACAGCAAUGCGCCGAUGGAGUGCCUCGCGGCCUAUCAGCUAGUUGGUGAGGUAACGGCNCACCAGGGCAACGACGGGUAGCUGGUCUGAGAGGAUGGCCAGCCACAUUGGGACUGAGACACGGCCCAGACUCCUACGGGAGGCAGCAGUGGGGAAUAUUGCGCAAUGGACGAAAGUCUGACGCAGCGACGCCGCGUGUGGGAUGACGGUC